UAGUAGUACUAUGAGUUUGUAACUCGUUUUCGUUUCACCAUCAAUUCUUGUUGUUCUUUCUGUCACGUUUGCUCCUAACAUUAUCCUUAAAUCAUGCCGAUAAACAAGCGAGGGAGAAAUGCAUUAUAAAUUCACAGAAAAAAAUCGUUAAAUGAUAUUAGAUACUUCAAUCAUUUUUGGGUUUGAAGUAUCUUUUUGUUAAAGCUUCUCUUUUCUCCUCGCGUCCGCAGGAAUUGAUUCUUGCGAUUCUAAAACAUGGCUCUCGACAGCAUAAUAACUUCUCCUCAUCGAAGGUCGCAGCAGACACAGUCUGCAUUCUCUCCUCGUUCUAGGAAGCAACACUGGCGAGACGCAGAAUUGGGAAGCUGGCAAACCCUUGUUCAGAGACAUCAAUUCCUCCUGACUGCUCUUUCCCUCCUCGUAGCUCUCUGCACUAUUUAUCUUUACUUUGCCGUGACUCUUGGGUCAGCAGAUGAAUGCUCCGGCUUGGCGGGAGCUGAAAAGGUGUCGUGUCGUCUUCAGUUGUCUGCAGCCAAGGGAAAACUAAAAUUCCUUUAGUAAAAUGAGUUCAUUCUUUGCCCUGUCUGUGUAGAUUGUUUUAAACACCCUAGGCUUAUUGUUGCUGUAUAUUCACAAAGCAAUCUGCUUUGCAAAAGUUUCUAUGUAACUUAUACUCCGUACUUGUGAAAUUUGUAUUCCUUAA